UGUGUAGGUCAGGCUGAGACGAAGCUGCACAGAGGCGAUCUUAGGAAGCUGGAGUCCCCACCCGCCCACACCCACUUCCGCCUUGUGCUGUCAGUCCUGCUGAGUCGAUACAAACCGUAGCCUGGGGCCCAGCCUGGACUCCCCACUGAGGUUCUGGCCUACGGGAGAUCAAAGACCCACUGAGAACAAUAGUAAGGCAGCCGUGGUUCACUCUCCCCGGAUGCACCUCCACACCUGUCCAUGCUGUCACUCAGCCAUUCCAGGCUGUUUUUAUCUUCCUGUGGUUCUCAUCAUACUUCCUGUGGAAAGUGGAGGCUGUCUGCAGCAUGUGCACAGCUGUUUGGAAGACCUCCAUAUUGAAGUGUGAAAGCAUGCUAGUAAGAUGGAUAUUCUACAAGUUAUUGAUACUGAGAAGUUGUCAGGAUGGGAUGUCAGAGAGACUAGGAAGAAGCCCUUCAGCCGCUUGUCAGCCUCCCCCAGCUGCCCCUCUCCUCCAUCCCCACUGUCUUACUGGGAGGUAUUUCAUGAACAGCUGGGUCCCGGGAGAGGAGAGGUUAGUCAAAGAGGCGCACUGUGUAUAAUUCAAUGAUUAUCAGGUGUGUGUAUGUGUGCGUGUGUUUAUAUAUGUGCGUGUGUGUGGCCCUCCCCCUUCUAUUGGCAGGUGUCAGGUGACAGGCAGGCCAUGUCACUGGCUGUCAGCUGGCUUUCUAUUGGAGCAGUCACACUGUUCACAACAUUACCAUAAGCUGAUGAGCAAGGCUUGGGCCGUCUCACGCUCUAAGCUGCAGCUCUGAUGUCAUAUAGGAGACUCGGACAAUGUCAGCGCUAAAGCACCUAAAUCUGAACAGCCUUCUUUUGUUAUGAUUUUUUAAACUCCAUUUUGGGUUUUGAUUAGUCUAAACCAGC
ensembl:lncRNA